rnacentral:rRNA from 1 species
AGUGAACGCUGGCGGUAGGCCUAACACAUGCAAGUCGAACGGCAGCACAGUAAGAGCUUGCUCUUACGGGUGGCGAGUGGCGGACGGGUGAGGAAUACAUCGGAAUCUACUUUUUCGUGGGGGGUAACGUAGGGAAACUUACGCUAAUACCGCAUACGACCUACGGGUGAAAGCAGGGGAUCUUCGGACCUUGCGCGAUUGAAUGAGCCGAUGUCGGAUUAGCUAGUUGGCGGGGUAAAGGCCCACCAAGGCGACGAUCCGCAGCUGGUCUGAGAGGAUGAUCAGCCACACUGGAACUGAGACACGGUCCAGACUCCUACGGGAGGCAGCAGUGGGGAAUAUUGGACAAUGGGCGCAAGCCUGAUCCAGCCAUACCGCGUGGGUGAAGAAGGCCUUCGGGUUGUAAAGCCCUUUUGUUGGGAAAGAAAAGCAGCAGGUUAAUACCCCGCUGUUCUGACGGUACCCAAAGAAUAAGCACCGGCUAACUUCGUG